ACACGUGUUAGCAUCACUUUAUUUCUUUACUACUUUGUACUUUAAAGGAAAUGGACGUCUAAAAAUAAUUCUACUAAAAUACUAAAAAAAACUUUAACAAUGUUAUUAACUACACAAAAGGAAAUGCUUUGCAAUGUGAGCAGCAAUAUUAAUAUCGAAAAUGGAUAACUUCCGUAAUGGAGAGAAAAGAUUUCUAGAAAUGAUGGUUUAAAUUAAAGAUUUUUCACCUGAAUAGCUCAACGUUAGUGUGAAUGUUUAUAGUCCAGCUGCGAAGGAUGGUUGGGGUUUGUUUUGGAAAUACAUAACCUCACUUAUGAUCAAAUCAUCAUUGAAAACUAACUUCAAGAUUUGAUUCAAGAAAUGCAGAUAGAAACUAAUAUUUAUUGAAAAAUAUAAAUUAAUGUAUUAUAAUUGCAAAUAAAAUUAUAUUUAAAAUUA